GAUGAACGCUAGCGGCAGGCCUAACACAUGCAAGUCGAGGGGUAACUAGAGUGAUAGCAAUAUUACUUUGGCUGGACCGGCGCACGGGUGCGUAACACGUAUGCAACCUACCUUAUACUGGGGAAUAACUUCGAGAAAUCGGCGCUAAUACCCCAUAACAUUGCGAAGAGGCAUCUCUUUGCAAUUAAAGCUCCGGCGGUAUAAGAUGGGCAUGCGUCCAACUAGCUAGUUGGUGAGGUAACGGCUAACCAAGGCUACGAUUGGUAGGGGUUCUGAGAGGAUGAUCCCCCACACUGGUACUGAGACACGGACCAGACUCCUACGGGAGGCAGCAGUGAGGAAUAUUGCGCAAUGGACGAAAGUCUGACGCAGCCAUGCCGCGUGCAGGAUGACGGCCCUAUGGGUUGUAAACUGCUUUUGUACGGGAAUAAACCCUUCUACGUGUAGGAGGCUGAAGGUACCGUAAGAAUAAGCACCGGCUAACUCCGUGCCAGCCGCCGCAGUAA
rnacentral:rRNA from 1 species